rnacentral:lncRNA from 1 species
GCUUUUAGAUGAAAAGAUGCUUAUAAUCUAUUUCCCCUGCCAUAAAGAGCAUGUAACAUAAAAGUUGCCAUCAUAAGAUGCAUAUGAAGUGUGGGUAGUCUGAGUUUGAAGCUGUAUCUGUAAGCAUACAUUUUAAAGUCUGGCAGUAGAAAGCAGCAGCAGUUCUAAUCACAUGAGAACCUGCACUUUCUUCAUUUUUCACCUUUGCCUGGAAUCUGUUAUGAUAAAUCAACUUACCUUAUAUUUUAUUAUCCCUUUUUCUUUUUUUAGUCAGUUCUUUUUUUAAGAUUUUAUUAUUAUACACAAGUACACUGUAGCUGUCUUCAGACGCACCUGAAGAGGGUGUCAGAUAUCAUUAUGGGUGGUUGUGAGCCACCAUGUGGUUGCUGGGAUUUGAACUCAGCACCUUUGGAAGAGCUGUCAGUGCUCUUACCCGCUGAGCCAUCUCACCAGCCCUUAUUCCUUUUUCUAAUUGUGUAACAAAUGCAAAAAAGUAUAUAUACUCUUUCCUUUAGCAUAUACCUACACAGGCAAUAGAGGUUUUGUUUCCUCACCCACAUAUGUUUGGAAUCAGGUAUUGUGUGGACACGUUGGUUAGAUGCACGGAGGAUGGAAAUGUCACCUCACAUAUCGGCUGCUCCCCUGGCCGGGCGCCCUCAGCUUUCACCUCACAUCUCCCUUCCUUCUCUAAUUCUUCAGCACUCUCUGGCUGUGAGGAGACUAGGCAUUUCUUUGGAAAUAAAAGGCUCAUCAUUAAACAGAAAUAUCCCUGCCUCUUAAGUCCCUGUUGGCAGGGCUCCCACAGCCUCACCUUCACCAGCAAAGAGAAGUGAGGAGGAGAUUCUGUUGUCACCCCCCCAGCUUGUUACACCCAUGGUCACACAUGUUUGGGUGUUCUCCCUCCUGUUCAUGUUCUCAGAACAGCCUUUUCAUGUGGCAAAGUAGGAAAGGGCCCAGGAAACUUGUUAACUAGUCUUGGCUCAUAGCCUACAUGGGAGCUUCUCAGCCUUAUUUUUUCUCUGCAAAAUUGGAAUAAAUAAUAGAUGCUACUUCUGUGUCUUAUGAUUGUCAGAGAUUAAAUGAGAAAAUAAGGGAAAAGCUUAGAAAACAUAAGUUGCAAUACAAACAUAAGUGCGUAUAUUUUUCUGAGUGUAAUCUUUUCAGACUUGUAUUAUGCUCUUAUGUCUACACACAUGCUUCUCAUCUGCUUACUAUGGGAUAACAGUUUAAUAGGAAAAUAAGAGAGAUUGGGAAUCUUGAAAGGCCACUUCUUAAAAACAACCUAAAGAGGGUUGGAGAGAUGGCUGACUCAACAGUUAAGAACCGACUGCUCUUCCAGAGGACCCAGGUUCAAUUCCUAGUACUCACAUGGCAACUCACAACUGGCUGUAACUCCAAUUCCAGGGGAUCCUACAACCUCUUUUGGUCUCUGAGGGCAGGCAGGCAUGUAUGCUGUGCCCAGAAAUACACUCAGUCAAAACAUCUAUCCGUAGAAAAUAAAAGUGUAAAGGCCUGGGGAGGAAGAGUGGCUGUCUGCUUCAUCUCCUGUGUCGUUUGUUUCCCCAGGGAGCAUGUGUCACUUUUUUAAGUUAAGGAAGCCAAUACACAUUUUCUAAUGGCUUAAAAUAAUUUAGUCAAACUAGAAAUAGUCAUCGGAAGUCACCCACACAGAGGGGUGACAGCUGGGGCAGAGAGAACAAAGGAUUUAGAAAGAUAAGCAAUUGGGGAAACAGCUUGAUGGGCAAAUUGGGACCGCAUUGUUCAACUUUUGAAUGUCAGGUCAGUGCAUUUGUACAUGGUGGAAGCCACUGAAGGGUCCUGGGCAAAGGGGUAAUGUAAUGAGUAAUUUGAUUCUCAGAACAGUUUUAAGAGUAAUGAAUGUGGAUGAGAAAGUUCCAAGCCUUGCAAGCCUGGAGGCUUGAUUUCAAUCCUGUGACUCCAAGUAAAGAUGGAACCAACUCCACGGGGUUCCCCUCUGACUUCCAGAGGUGUGCUGUAACACAUGUGCUCAUGCUCACACGCACACUUUGUCUUAUUUUAGUUUUAGCUUUAUCCAUUUUACACAUACUUAAAAGAAAAAGAAUAAUACACAAGAUGACUUGAAAGAAGAAAGACGAAAAAUGUAUAUGUAGUCAGGCAUGGUAGUGACCUUGGGAAGCAAAGGCAGGAAAAGUUUGAGUUCAAGGUCAGCCUGGGCUAUACAGGAAGUGCUAUGUUCCAUUUCCAGUUGGGUUUUCCAGAGGUCUAAAGGCAAAGAGGAUAGUCAACUCAAAGGGAGACACGUGCAACCUGUAAGAAAAUAGUGAUGGUAUUGGGUUAUACCCCAAAUAAAAUGCCAAUCCAUACUAAUGUAGAUAAAUGUUAAAUAAAAAAGGAGAAGGGGCCAGUAUUCCUUUCAGAAGAAUUCCAAUUAUACAUAUAUAUUUUAUUAAAGUUUUAAAUUUGUAGAAAAAUGAGGAAAAUAAAAAUUAUAUCAUAGUAACAAUAGCUGCUGUCAAGAUUCAGUGAUCACUAAAUCUAGACAGUGACUCUUCAAGGGGAAUCAAGACAUUUGAAUGGUUAUACGAGACACUUUUACAUAUUAAUUACUGUGGUAGCUUUAAAUGAGUAUCCAUAAUUUCUUUGAUACUAUUCUCUCUGGGAGAUGGAAUUUAAUUGUUCUCCCUUGAAGAUGGACUGGACUGAGUGACUUGUUUCUGAUGACUAGAAAACAAUAUGACAAAAAUCGUCAUUUUAUG